UAUUCAUACAGUAGUAGUCCUGACAGGUGUCCUGUAAUACAACACCUUUAUAUUCAUACAGUAGUAGUCCUGACAGGUGUCCUGUAAUACAAUACAACACCUUUAUAUUCAUACAGUAGUAGUCCUGACAGGUGUCCUGUAAUACAAUACAACACCUUUAUAUUCAUACAGUAGUAGUCCUGACAGGUGUCCUGUAAUACAAUACAACACCUUUAUAUUCAUACAGUAGUAGUCCUGACAGGUGUCCUGUAAUACAAUACAACACCUUUAUAUUCAUACAGUAGUAGUCCUGACAGGUGUCCUGUAAUACAAUACAACACCUUUAUAUUCAUACAGUAGUAGUCCUGACAGGUGUCCUGUAAUACAAUACAACACCUUUAUAUUCAUACAGUAGUAGUCCUGACAGGUGUCCUGUAAUACAAUACAACACCUUUAUAUUCAUACAGUAGUAGUCCUUACAGGUGUCCUGUAAUACAAUACAACACCUUUAUAUUCAUACAGUAGUAGUCCUGACAGGUGUCCUGUAAUACAACACCUUUAUAUUCAUACAGUAGUAGUCCUGACAGGUGUCCUGUAAUACAAUACAACACCUUUAUAUUCAUACAGUAGUAGUCCUGACAGGUGUCCUGUAAUACAACACAACACCUUUAUAUUCAUACAGUAGUAGUCC